AUACAGUAUAUUAUUUCCGUGCCCCAUGACAGUUCAGCUGCUGAAGUCAUUUUAUAAAUUAAAAGAGAGGACCACAGAGGUGGUGCAGGAGCAACACACUUGCCCACCACGUAAAUUUGAGAGAGAACAAUUUGUGAAAAGCACCAGACUUUCCAAUAUACAAUUAACUAAACCAAAUACAAUUAAAUUGUUUGAGACAGAUUCACAUCUAAAUUAAUAUUAACUGACAAACUUAAAUAGGCUUUUUCACAGCUGGAUAAACACAGGUGAAUAUAUUGUCAUAAACUAACAAUGGCUUAUGCUAAUAUAGUAAUCAAUUGUAUAGUUCAUUAUAUUUCUAUUCUAUUCUAUCUUGUUUAUUUUCAUUAUAAACAUUUUUUGUACAUUUCUACUCAUGCAGUGCUAUUUGUGCUGGAUGGAAGGAUUAAUAAAGGUAGAUCUUACCUUAUCUUAUCUUAAUGUUUUAGAGCCUGCUACUAGAUUUUUUUUGUGGUGGAAGCAGGAUCUUUUACAAUUUAAACAAUAAACUUCAAUUAGUGCACCAAAACAGCAAAAUGUCAUGGCAAUCUAAUAUUUGAAGUUCUGCAAGAUUUUUAAAAACAUUAUUAAUAUCGGCACAUAUCAGCCAACAUACACUACUCAAAAGCGUUAGGGAUAGUGGGAUAGAUAUGUAAUAACAAUAACAACAAUUAACAAUCAAGUGCAAAUCCAAGCGUUCCUAAAUAAUUUUGAGUGUUAGAAGAAGCAGUAAAAUAUCUUCAAAAGAGAUGUGUCUUAUUUGUCCAAUUUAAGAAUACAAUUUGGCAUUGAUUUAAAAAAAUGCCUUUGUCUUAAAUUUUUGCAAGAUAAAUACAUAACACAUUAGCAAUCCAAAAAAUGUGCUACAGGAAGUCAGUUUUAUGCUACUUUUUAUCAGUAUUUUCACACAUUUCAGCAAGUCAGCAUGAAGAAACAUUUCCUGUGUAAAUGAAACAAACAACAGGGUAAUUUAUUAAUAGUCCCUAAAUCAGUCUCCAGCGCAGCGGGACGUUCUUGGUGGCGAGCUAACCGUCCUCCAGCUGCCAACACCGGGUGAAACCGAGUAAGAGGCGCCGCUGGGUCUCUCCAACCUACAACUAACCUCACUUCGAAGCAGUAGCGAGCAUCUUGAUUGGAAUAUCUGACCGGCUCUGCAGCAAGAGAUUAAGACUGCACAAACAUCAUUGGUAACCAUCUUCCGAGCGUCAGUGACAUCGGAGAAGCGAGAAAUCUUCACGGAGCCCACCCAGCAACACUCUGUUCACACUGCUGCCAUCUGCCGAAAGAUACAGAGGUACCUGCUGCCGUACAGCCAGACUAUAGAGAAGCUCCUGUCAUCAGGCUGUUUGACUCCUGAGCAUUUGUACAACACACCUAUAUCUUUUGGCUCCCUGUGUGUCAAAGGACAGAUUUUCUAGGGCAGGUGAAGCAGCUUUUAGUGUCUAUGCUCCACACCUGAACAACAAGCUUUCUUAAUAGCUGAGAUCUCUAAAAAGUGUCACAGAUUCAUUUAAAUCAGGUCUUAAAAAUGACUGUUUACCAUGGCUUUUAAAUAAUUAGAUUCAUAACUUAUUUUUAAUCUGUAACGUUAUAUUCGCAUAUGUUUGCUUUUGUUUGAUCUGUUUCUUUGUCUCUGUAACUCUGAACUGCUUCAUGUCUGAAUGGUGUUACAUAAAUAAACUUGCCUCACCUUUAUACUACAAAUGUUGCCAAGUUAUGACCUUUGACCUCUUCAGUCCAAAUGAAUAAUUUUAACUAAAGUUUUUUAAAUGUUCAAAGAAAUAAAUAAUCGAUUAAUAUUUUUGUUUUUGGA